UAUAUUUAGUUUAUUUAUAGUUUAUUUAGUUUCUAAAAUCCAAUUAGCUAGAUAUUUUAUUUGAUUUUGUUUUUAUAUUUAAGUAGUUGAGUUUUGGAAAGUUUUUAUAUUUUGUUAAUAGAAAUAUAUAUGAGGACUUAAAGGGUUUAUAUUUAGGUAGUGCUUGAGCCAAGGAAAAUGAUAGUCCACUAUCUUGACCCUAUGCAUCACAAACCAUGUGAGGACUUAAAGGAUAUCGUAAACAUUGUCCAAGACAAGAAAGAGGGUUCGAAUGUAGCUACUUUGUUAUGAGAUUCAUUAAAGAUAUAAUUUUUGAUCCUACAAUUAUUGCUUCAAAGGUAUUACUUAUUUAAUGAAUUGUACAUAGUUUUAGGCUUCCAAAUGUUAUGCAUUUUAAUGUUAUUUUCUUAUUCGAUUUCAGUUUGGUAAUAAAAAAAACAUAUUCUCAAGUAGAAUUCGAUGAAAUUAGAGGAGAAUGGGCUACUUUUGUGCUACAACUAAUCAUGAAUCAUGUUGAUGCAUCAUGAUCACCAUGCAUGGUAUACACUCUUGGGAGGGUGAAAUGGAGAAUAAAAAGAAAGAAGAAGGCAACAAGAUUUUGGGUUUUUAAAUGCAACUCUUAUGUCAUACGUUGUAGGACAUAAACAUUACUUUAAUUGCAACUGAGAAAUUUAGAUUUUUAGAUGGGACUUCUAUGUCAUUUUAUGGUUAGCCGGUUUUAUGCUUAUGAAAUGGAGGUAUACAUGAAUCUUGGGAUCUUUAACAUUUCUAAAUCAUGUUUUGGUA